rnacentral:rRNA from 1 species
UACCUACGGGGGGCAGCAGUGGGGGAUAUUGCACAAUGGGGGGAACCCUGAUGCAGCGACGCCGCGUGGGUGAAGGAGUGCUUCGGCAUGUAAAGCCCUAUCGGCAGGGAAGAAGCAAGACGGUACCUGACUAAGAAGCCCGGCUAACUACGUGCCAGCAGCCGCGGGAAUACGUAGGGGGCGAGCGUUAUCCGGAUUCACUGGGUGUAAAGGGAGCGUAGACGGCCCUGCAAGCCAGGGGGGAAAGCCCGGGGCCCAACCCCGGGACUGCCCUUGGAACUGCCUGGGUGGGGUGCGGGCGGGGG